AGUUUAAUGUUUAUGUACAUAUUAAAUAAUUUCUGCUCAGUGAGUAUUUUAAACAGCCGCGGUACUUUGACCGUGCAAAGGUAGCAUAAUAAAUUGGCUUUUAAUUGAAGUCUAGAAUGAAUGAAUUUUUGGACAUUUACUGUCUUAUAUGGUUUAAUUUUAAUUUAAUAAUUAGGUGAAAAUUCCUAUAAUUUAAAAAAAAGACGAGAAGACCCUAGAAAUUUAAUAAUAUUUAUAUGUUUAAUAAUCUUUUUUGUUGGGGCAACAAUGUUACAAUUUUAAAUUAAUUUUUUUUAAUAUGGUAUAGGAAGGAUUUUUCAAGUAAGGUAAAAUUACUCUAGGGAUAACAGCAUAAUUAUAUUUUAGAUUGUGACCUCGAUGUUGGACUAGGAUACUUUAAGUCUAAAAGACUAAAAGAAAAGUUCUGUUCGAACUAUUUUUCCUACAUG
rnacentral:rRNA from 1 species